AACAGUUUGAGAUGUCACAUGGCAAUUGAUUGGUCAAUCAAAAUAAUGUGCAAUAGUAUAACCACAGUAUACCAUCCGUAAAUGUCUCAUUUUCAUAUGAAGCAAGGAUGCCGAUUGUUAACGAUGUCAAUGACCCUGACACAUGAUGAGAUUGAUUAUUAAUGACUUCAUCAACAAUAGAGUAACCUGAAAGGUCAAUAUAAUUCAGCCUCACUUUGAAUAUUCCUGAUUUCAUCAAUCCACGGCAGAGACCAAGAUUUUGAAGAAAAUGCUCAAGAAUAUCUUAAAAUCGUUGUCUCUUUUGGUGAUUUUAGCUUAUGAAUUAGAAUAAUCCUACACUAUUUUGAGUUUUCUGUUGGUAUACCGUGAUUAUACUAUCGGAAAUAUCCAUUUUACUGGGUCUGCUCCAUGUUGCAAGUAAAAUUCAAUUUGUGACAGUAUAAUCACGAUAUACUGCUGCAUAUCUCAAUAGAAUUAAGCUUUAUUCCCUAAUUAGAAGAUUUUUAGAAAACAGAACCCAUUUAAAAAAUUGGGCAUGAUGUGGGCAUGGCACCUAAAAACAUCUAUGUCAAAUCUUUGAAAUUUUGUAUUCUGGUAGUUAAUAUUAAACCAAUUAUGACAUCUAUGGAAUAAAGAUAUUUACCUGUACCUGUCCAUUCUUAGCUCACCUGACUCAUCAAGGUCUGUUUGAGGAAAUAUAAAAGUAAAAGUACUUCCUGAAAUUACUGCUUAUAAAGAAUGCAGUGCUAUUGAUCACCAUUGACCAGAUAUCUCAGUUGGUUUGUGGUCUUACAUUCCAGGCUGAUCUUCACUUGUUCCACUAGGUAUUGAAUUAAUGGUCCACUAGGUAUUGAAUUAAUGGUUUGUGGUUUACAUUCCAGGCUGAUCUUCACUUGUUCCACUAGGUAUUGAAUUAAUGGUUUGUGGUCUACAUUCCAGGCUGAUCUUCGCUUGUUCCACUAGGUAUUGAAUUAAUGGUCCAUUAGG